UCCAUUCCCUCCCUAUUAUAGGAAAAGGCUGAAUAGCCAUUCAUUUCCUUUACCUCUAAAUAUCCAUUCAAUCCCGUGUUCUAUUUUUUUUUCCCUAUUUUCAAUUUUUGCCCUCAGCUUCAUCUUCUCCUUUCCUUUCCAUCUCUGCGUUUCCCUUUUUUUCCUUCUUAUUUCCCCAUCUGCUGCUACUGUUUCUGUUUGCCUUCUUAUUGCCAUUCAGAGCACAGUAGGAAUGCUGAGAGAUUACCUUCUUUCUUUUUCAUUUUUAGCCUCAUUUUUCAUCAUCAUCCUUUCUGCAGUUUCAACUACAGCCUCUACGUUCAUUACCUUCUCCAUUUAUAAAGCCCUAAACGCCAUUGCCCCUCACCAAUUUUUUCAAUCUUUUCCUCGUAGCAAUCGAGAUCGUAGAAAUUUCCCAAUUAAGGGCAAAAUCUUCAGCAAGAAAAAAAAUCCAGACUUAAUUGAAGAACACAUUACAUUCUGGUUUUGAUUUCAAAGCGAUUCAAGAUAAGGUUUCCCUUCAUUUAAGACCUUGGCAUCGUUCAUUUCAGUUCUGGGUUCGAGCAGUUGAUAUUUAUGGGCUAUAAGUUCUCUUCUUUAUCUUCUUCUUCCUUUGAUUCUUCUUCUUGUUGUUAAUUUGAUAGUUUUACAUUGUUGGGUAAUUGUUGAAAUGAUAGGUGUUUCAACUUCGAGUAAGUUUUGUGAAGGAUCCACAAAAGCAAUAAGCAAUAAGCAAUGCGGGAUUUAUUAUUGAUGAUGUUGAUGUUCCUCAGGUGCAACACUAUCGGCUUUUUCUGAAAGAACAUGUUGUUUUUAAGGAGGUAUUGUAUUCUUGAAUGUGUCUUAAUGAAAUGAUGGAGGUUUAGACUUGGAAGAAAUUUAGAUCAGGAAGAAAAUCCAGGAACUUUUAGAAAGAGUUCAUUUUAUGAUAUUUGAUUUUUACAGGCUAUUCCAAUUAAAAAUCCCCUCGCCCUGUCAAAGAUACACCAGACAUACAGAGUUCAUUUUCUUUCUAUAAGUAUUAUCAUAGGGAUAUAAUUAUUAAGGUUCCAAAUGCUUUCAUCCUUGUUCCUUGCUGUGGCAUCUUUAAACACUAUUUGUGCUAAUUCUUUUACUGAAAGUUGUUUCCCCUCCUUAUAUCUAUAGAUGAGGUUUUUCCAUAAUUAAUUUUGUAGGAAUUAUUUGUUGCAUUUUUUUCAUUAUUUAUUGCAUGAGGUUAAUGGCUUGCUUGAGUUUUUCCAUGGUUCUUGGUAGUUAUAUCAAUUUUUGGUAAUUAUUUCUGGUCUGAAGCUGGUUAUAUAUUAUUGGAUCAUGGUGAUCAUUAUAUGUGUGCUUUGACUAAUCAAAUCUUGGUGGUAAUACAUUCCAGGCUGUGUGUAAGUAGGAAUUUUUGUUCAUUUCAUCAAAUCUAGGUGAAAUUUAUAAAUUAUGUGCCCCAACUCUUUUUGCAAGUGAGCUGUAAAUUUGUCAUUGAUGUUCUUUUGUAUCAUUAAAUUUCUAUAAUUUCAGGAAUGAUGGAUUUCAUAAGGUAAGUUUUUUAUUAAAUUUUUGCUUAUGUGCCAAGAGUCAAGAGUGGCUCAGAUGCCUUGAUCAAUGGCUGAGCCAUAAUAAUGGUCUCUAUACUGUGAUGGUAUACUGAAUGUGUGACUUCCAAGAACAAGUUCUAUUUACUGCAUUAUUUUCAGGUACUUUGGAUUAUAAAAGAAUUAGACAAAUGUGGUUGCUCUUUCAGAAGCGUAAUAGUGUGCUUCAGAUGCACGAAAGGAAAAUUUACGAUGAGGAAUGUCUGAAGAUUGAUAACAGUGAAAAGUAUACUUUGACUAAGCAGUUAUUCGAAUCAAUAUCAAAGUCUCUCAAUGAAGCUGAAACGAAGGAAGAGAUUGAUGGCGUGGAUACAAAGUAUACUUUGAAUAAAGCUGUUAUCUGGGUUCAACAUAAUCUGCACCAUCUACGAUUUAUGUUAUUUGGAUUCAUUCGAUUGUAGGUGUUGAGUAGGGUAUGUAUGAUGUAUCUAGUGUAGGUCUAUUCAAUAUUUUUGAGAUUUUUAUAUAAAAAAUUCUUAAAAGAUCCAUGUUUAAAUGUUAAUAAUUCUAUGUGCUAUUUUUAAUGAAUUUCUGAUAA